rnacentral:rRNA from 1 species
UACGUAGGGGGCAAGCGUUGGUUCGGAUUCAUUGGGCGUAAAGGGUGCGUAGGCGGCGCGGUAAGUCGGGUGUGAAAUUUCGAGGCUUAACUUCGAAACUGCAUUCGAUACUGCCGUGCUAGAGGACUGGAGAGGAGACUGGAAUUUACGGUGUAGCGGUGAAAUGCGUAGAUAUCGUAAGGAAGACCAGUGGCGAAGGCGGGUCUCUGGACAGUUCCUGACGCUGAGGCACGAAGGCCAGGGGAGCAAACGGG